AUUGAACGCUGGCGGCAGGCCUAACACAUGCAAGUCGAACGAGUGGCGGACGGGUGAGUAAUGUCUGGGAAACUGCCUGAUGGCGGGGGAUAACUACUGGAAACGGUAGCUAAUACCGCAUACCAUCGGAUGUGCCCAUAUGGGAUUAGCUAGUCGGUGGGGUAACGGCUCACCUGUGCUACGAUCCCUAGCUGGUCUGAGAGGAUGACCAGCCACACUGGAACGGAGACACGGUCCAGACUCCUACGUGAGGCAGCAGUGGGGAAUAUUGCACAAUGGGCGCAAGCCUGAUGCAGCCAUGCCGCGUGUAUGAAGAAGGCCUUCGGGUUGUAAAGUACUUUCAGCCGGGAGGCGUUACCCGCAGAAGAAGCACCGGCUAACUCCGUGCCAGCAGCCGCGGUAAUUC
rnacentral:rRNA from 1 species